rnacentral:rRNA from 1 species
GCCCUACGGGAGGCUGCAGUGGGGAAUCUUCCGCAAUGGGCGAAAGCCUGACGGAGCAAUGCCGCGUGAGUGAUGAAGGAAUUCGUUCCGUAAAGCUCUUUUGUUUAUGACGAAUGUGCAGAUUGUAGAUAAUGAUCUGUAAUGACGGUAGUAAACGAAUAAGCCACGGCUAACUACGUGCCAGCAGCCGCGGUAAUAAGUAGGUGGCGAGCGUUGUCCGGAAUUAUUGGGCGUAAAGAGCAUGUAGGCGGUUUUGUAAGUCUGGAGUGAAAAUGCGGGGCUCAACCCCGUAUGGCUCUGGAUACUGGAAGACUUGAGUGCAGGAGAGGAAAGGGGAAUUCCCAGUGUAGCGGUGAAAUGCGUAGAUAUUGGGAGGAACACCAGUGGCGAAGGCGCCUUUCUGGACUGUGUCUGACGCUGAGAUGCGAAAGCCAGGGUAGCGAACGGGAUUAGAUACCCCUGUAGUC